CCGAGUUUACAACUCCCAAACCCAAUGUGAACGUUACCAAACUGUUGCCUCGGCGGGAUCUCUGCCCCGGGUGUCGUAAGCCCCGGACCAAGGCGCCCGCCGGAGGACCAACCAAAACUCUUUCUGUAGUACCCCCUCGCGGACGUAUUUUCUUAAUCUGAGCUUCGGAGCCUAGUAGGAGUUCGAAAAUGAAUCA
rnacentral:misc_RNA from 1 species